ACAGCAAGUCCCCUUGUCAAUCAGGAGAAUAACUUUUCUUUGGCAUAACUGAAGUGACUUUGGUUGCGAUUUAAUAUUUUCAUUAAUUUUGCCUUUUAGAGUCACAUUUAUUUGAAUAAAAUAAUGCUGAUACUGGACAAAUAUAGGCUGUUUAGAUUUAUUGCCCAAUACGGGAUUCUUUAACAAUUAAGUUGAAAAGUUUUUUGUUUUUUUUUUUUUUUUUCAGAAAAUGAGUUCGUUUCCUUUCAUUAAUUAUUUUUUCAUUUUAUAAUGAGCUCUUUUUUUACUCCACAGAUUUGGGUCUUUUGUCUGUGAAAAAUUCAGCCUUAUGUAUAUAAUCAUUACUUUUUAUAAGAAAUAGCAAGUUCUCAGCUUAACUCUUUCUUCACAGCCCCCCUCCCCCUGCCUUAUUUUAGUUGUUCAGAAGUUGUGUUAAACCAAUCUGUGCUCAGAGCCCACUUUUGCCAAUGAUUUAUCACAAUGCCCCAGACAAGUUUAAAGUGGCAUCCCUGAGCCAAAGGUUUCCAUCUUGAUGGAGUAUGGAACCUUCAUUUACAUAAGUGUUGCAAAGGUAAAAAUGAACUCCUCCUAUAAAGUACUUUGCUAAGAAUUUGCUUAGAAUUAGAAGGAAAUAAAUGUUCGACCAUAGUUGCAGGUCUCUGAAUUAAAGGUUUUGAGUUCUAGGUUGUUGUCUUAUAAUUGUUUUGUGGUUUUGAUUUGGUUUCAUGUCUUUGGAUUCUGUUCAUUGGCUUUUAAUUGGCUUUUAAUUCUUUGGUUUCAGUCUUUAAAGUUCGACUUCUUCACUUUCUUACUUUGCUAGCUCUUACUUCCUCCUAUCUCAAUAUUUUUGAUUGCCAUCUAAGUGUCUGCUUACCAUUUAACUUGUCCCUUGAUUCAUAGACACCAAACUCAUUAGUUGCACUCAAGUAGUGCUUUUGAGAUAAUACAGACAUUCUGGGUUAGGUGUGAAAUGAGCUCCACCCCCUGCCCUGCCCCCAGAAGGCUCAUUUGCUUGAACACUUGCUGCCCCAGAUGGUGGUGCUGUUUUGGACGAUCUUGGCUUUCUGCCAUAAAGAGCCUAUCUGAUGGAGAUACCCUCUGAAAGCAGACCUUUGAAGAGUUACAGCCUAAUCCCCUUCUGUCCCCUUCUGUGCUCUGUGGGAAGCCACGUGAACUUCCCCUUUCCUUGGUGACAGAAGCCAGUCUACUGCCAUGCUUUCCUCACUGGGACAGGCAUGGUGUCUCCAUCUGCUGAAUGAAUGCAUAACCAAGAACCUACAAUUCAGUAGCCCCAUCCCUAGGAAAACUAAGUAGAUUUCUGUUUUCCUGCUCAGAGUUGGGGUCAAUGAAGACUCUCAUGGGUGGAAGACAGGUCUACUGAGGGAAACUUGCUUUGCCAUCACAGCAAUCUCACUAGCUCAGCUCCUUCCCUCCAAGGUUUGGUGAAGUAGGGUACCAAGAGCCAGAGCCAUUGCUCAUUUACUGGGGAUUCGGGUUUCCUGGCCCUCUCUGAUAUAUAUAGCAAAGUUCUCUUUCCCUCUUGUAUUUGAGAUGUUUAUAAGCAUGUGUCACUGUUUUUGGCUUCUCAUAAAGUGUGGCUUCCUAGUGAAGAGACUUCUAAUUGUGGAGUAUCUGGUUUAAUGGCUUUGGAAUUGAGCCUGUGUAUUAGAGCUUUAGACUGAAUAAUUGUCUUGUCCAUCUAGCAUGGUGAAAUGGGGUUUAGAGGAGAAAUUUGACAUCAUUACUGAAUUUCAGUUUCAUCCUGAAAUCCUGGGGAUAAUUCCCCCCCCCCCUUUUGAAACUUGAAGAUUCAGAAUGUAAAGAAAUACAUGAUGAUUUUCUUUCAUAUAAUGUAUAAGUGUAGAUAACAAAAUACUAUUCAAAGUUAACAGUUAGCAAGACAAUCAAGCACAGUGGGUGUUGGACUUCUUGGCCAGACUCACAUGAAGGCAGAGGUUAGAAGAGGAGCAAGUGCUUAAACCCAUAUAUCAACAGGAAGAACUAGACAAGCAGAAUAGCAGAACUCAGUAGUCGAAUAUUCGCCUGGUGGAUAUUGGCCACUAGAGGAUUCAGUGAGGAUAAUCCCACCAGCAGUGGAGAGUCCAGGGGUUAAUAGACCCACUUAGGAGCAAAUGGGCCCCUUUGGGCCACAGGGGCUAGACUCCAUACCCUCCCAAGGCCAGAGUUCAGAGUUCACCUCCUCCACCUGAGCCUCCGGGUAAAAAGCUCUGCUGCAGUCGCUCCUUAUUUCUGUAGACUUGUUACAAAGGGCUCCAAUUAGCUCUCUGUAGCUUCUGUGGAUUUUCCCUUUUGGCCCUGUUAACAUGCCAAGAUGCAGCUACAGUCCAGCCCUUUCCCCUCUGACUGAGGCUGAGCAGAGAGAGGUACAGAACCUGAUCUGAAAGCAUACCAAGAAUGAGUGGAUCCAAAGAUAUGCACAUAUAUAGGUUUUUUUUUCUUGUGCUUUUUGAGCACAUGAACUUAAUUAUCAGUAUAAUUAGCAGAGCACCUGGCAUCCUGUUAAGGCUGUAAUUGCUAAACAAGAAUCACUUUCUUAAUAGUCUUGUGGUAUUACAUUGCUCCAAAAUCUAAGGGCUAUGUUCCUUCCCUUUACCACUAAGUAAUUAUUAUUCUCCCAGAAUAAUUAUUUACUAUUAUUUACUAUUCAACAACAACAACAAUAAUAUUUUAGAUGUUAACAACCAAAUCUACAUCUUUGUAGAAAAAUAAGAGAUUUCAAUGUAUAAUACAAUUGGUAAUAGCUUUUCUUGCUAGAACUAGUUCUGGUCAAUGCAGUUGAGUUUACUUCUGGUGUGGGGAAGCAGGGUGGGGUGGAGCAGGGUAGUGACUACCUGGAAAUAUAUAAACUUUUAUUCCCUCUUGAGUAGUUUUGAGUGACAGUUAAUGAUUCAACUAUCUUAUUGGGUGAUUCCCAAAUGGCUUCUGAAACAAAGGCAGCCCCUCUCAUAGGAUCCUGUGCUGGGACUUUAAAUUCUGCACUUCGCUUAUUUUCCUGGUUUGUACUUUUGCGUGGGAUUCAUGGACCACCCAAAAUAAACUAUAGCAUAGAGACAUGCUCCUUUGGUUGGCCCUUUUCACCAGCCAAAUCACCCACACUCCUCCUUCCCCACGUGCUGACUGCAUUAGUUCUGCCACGAGGAAAAUCCCAGGACUCACAGGGAAAGGCAGUGAGGGUGGGUACCGGGUUGCCAAGAGCUCACAGUGCAAGGAGGAUUUCCUGGGGAUGAUGCUGGGGUACAGAUCUCUAUUCACUUAGACAUGGGAUGCGCAAUUAUGAAUUUCUCUUUUAUUUUUAAUUUAAAAUUAAAUUUAGGGAUGUAUACCCUUUAUUUCUAAUUUAUUUUUUUUAGAAUUUUAUGUAAGAGUACUGUAUUUACAUCAUUUCUUUUUAUUGCAACUCUCUCUGGUCUCCGACUCAUCUUGCAGCCCUCUCAUGUCUUCUCAAGUUCAUGGCCUCUUCUUAUUUUUUUAAAAUAUUCAUGUAUAUUUAUAUAUAAUAUUUAUAAAUUUAAUCUGCUGAGGUGCUUAGUGUUGCUUAAAUGUAUUUGUGUUUAAGGAUGAGUACUUGGGAAUGAAUAACCUAUCAGGGUCCUUGUCCACAGAGAUUGCUCCUCUCUUGGCAACUGCUAAUGUCCAUAGAUAGCCUUUCCUCUUGGCCUGUGGCCUUGUGAGAUUUUUCCCACCUAUAUUGGCAUGUCAGCCGGCGUUGCCAUGGUUCAGAUCUUGCCUACAGCCAUACUGUUGAGAUUUCAUGGGUUCAUCUUUCCUGUUACACAUAGAAGACACUAUCCCUCUAUCUCUGUCCUGUUCCUCUGGCUCUUAGAGCCUCUCCUCCUCCUAUUCUAUGCUAUUCCCUGAAACUUAGGUGUGGGGGUUGUAUUGUAGAGUUAUUGGUUGGGACAAGGUGUAACUCAGAAUGUCUAAUCAGUGCACUCCCCACCCCGAGGUGCCAAGUAGAACUCAUGCUGCUAAUUAUAUGGAAAAUG
rnacentral:lncRNA from 1 species